ACCCCUGUGUGGUUCACAAGAGUGAUGGCUGGGCUUUCACGCUCACAUGCAAGACAUGCUCCCUUCAAACCUUGUCAAGAUGUCAGAUGGCACAUUAGCCAUCUGACA